ACGGAAGGCAGCAGUGGGGAAUAUUGGGCAAUGGGCGAAAGCCUGACCCAGCAACGCCGCGUGAAGGAUGACGGUCUUCGGAUUGUAAACUUCUUUAAUUGGGGAAGAACAAAAUGACCUACCCAAAGAAUAAGUCACGGCUAACUACGUGCCAGCAGCCGCGGUAAUACGUAGGUGACAAGCGUUAUCCGGAUUUACUGGGCGUAAAGGGCGUGUAGGCGGUCUUGCAAGUCAGAAGUGAAAUUCCUGAGCUCAACUCGGGCGCUGCUUCUGAAACUGCAGGACUUGAGUGCUGGAGGGGAUAGCGGAAUUCCUAGUGGAGCGGUGAAAUGCGUAGAUAUCAGGAGGAACACCGGUGGCGAAGGCGACUUUCUGGACUGUAACUGACACUGAGGUACGAAAGCGUGGGGAGCAAACAGGAUUAGAUACCCUGGUA
rnacentral:rRNA from 1 species